GCCGCUUUAGCUCAGCUGGUAGAGCACUCGCCUUGUAAGCGAAAGGUCGUCAGUUCGAACCUGACAAGCGGCUCCA
rnacentral:tRNA from 4 species